rnacentral:lncRNA from 1 species
GAACGGAAUCGGAUUACCUAAUGUGUGCGGCGUUGCCAUAGUUGCAGUGUAAGGGAGACUACUGACCGAGCAAAACAGCCCAGAGGGAAAAUCGCACUGCUGGAGAAAGAUUAACCUUAUAGAAAUGGAAUACUUGGAUGCACAAGGAACACGCCAGCUUCUGACGACCAACCAGAAGAUAAAUGGCUCCUUCACUGAGAAUCCAAAGAUUUGCAUUGAGGAGUAUCAGUCUAAAGAAGAAUACAGUCAGUCGUGUAGUGAUAUAUACCAACCCGAAAUAAAUGGACAAUACAGAUAUAAUAUUAACACUGGGCCAAUUGUAGUUGAGACUCCUCAUGACCAGCCGUACCACCUUCACCCACCAUAUGUUCAGAGCUCGGAAGAAAUUCAAGGUAACAGAGGAUACAAAUGCUUUAGAAUUACAAACCUGCUACCAGCAAGAACCUAGACAAACACAGCAGAGUUCCAGUCAAAAACAGAAACUGAGCAAAUCCACAUUGAGUCCCAAAGAUGUAUGGAACAAAAAACCUGGAAGAAAGACAAAGGAUAUAGUGGAACGUAACAAAAUAACCCUGGGCCACAACACAUCCAGAUCCAAUUUUGGCUCCUAUGUGAGGAUUCACAUGUUGAAACAGGAGAGGCCUCAUGAUGUGAAUGAGCACGGCCAGGAUUUAAUCAUACAAUUAACAUCUCUCCUUGGUCAUCUUCAUUGGAGCCAUGUUCAGCUUGCCUUGUCCACGGGAAAUAAACAGACAGGUUCAGAAAAACUCUCCUACAAGUCUCCAGGAGGGUUAAACAAACAAUCCAUUCAACAAAACGUGAUGAGUAGUCCUGUCCAAAGGAAGUUGCCAAUUUCCGAUGAUGGAGAGAAGCAAAACUUGAGUCCAGACAAGGUUCAUAUAAAACAGAAGCAGCUCUGA